rnacentral:rRNA from 1 species
AAUACCGGAUAACACUCUGUCCCGCAUGGGGCGGGGUUGAAAGCUCCGGCGGUGAAGGAUGAGCCCGCGGCCUAUCAGCUUGUUGGUGGGGUGAUGGCCUACCAAGGCGACGACGGGUAGCCGGCCUGAGAGGGCGACCGGCCACACUGGGACUGAGACACGGCCCAGACUCCUACGGGAGGCAGCAGUGGGGAAUAUUGCACAAUGGGCGCAAGCCUGAUGCAGCGACGCCGCGUGAGGGAUGACGGCCUUCGGGUUGUAAACCUCUUUCAGCAGGGAAGAAGCGUGAGUGACGGUACCUGCAGAAGAAGCGCCGGCUAACUACGUGCCAGCAGCCGCGGUAAUACGUAGGGCGCAAGCGUUGUCCGGAAUUAUUGGGCGUAAAGAGCUCGUAGGCGGCUUGUCGCGUCGGUUGUGAAAGCCCGGGGCUUAACCCCGGGUCUGCAGUCGAUACGGGCAGGCUAGAGUGUGGUAGGGGAGAUCGGAAUUCCUGGUGUAGCGGUGAAAUGCGCAGAUAUCAGGAGGAACACCGGUGGCGAAGGCGGAUCUCUGGGCCAUUACUGACGCUGAGGAGCGAAAGCGUGGGGAGCGAAC